rnacentral:rRNA from 1 species
AAAAGUGAAAGACGGUCUUGCUGUCACUUAUAGAUGGAUCCGCGCUGCAUUAGCUAGUUGGUAAGGUAACGGCUUACCAAGGCAACGAUGCAUAGCCGACCUGAGAGGGUGAUCGGCCACACUGGAACUGAGACACGGUCCAGACUCCUACGGGAGGCAGCAGUAGGGAAUCUUCCGCAAUGGGCGAAAGCCUGACGGAGCAACGCCGCGUGAGUGAUGAAGGUCUUCGGAUCGUAAAACUCUGUUAUUAGGGAAGAACAUAUGUGUAAGUAACUGUGCACAUCUUGACGGUACCUAAUCAGAAAGCCACGGCUAACUACGUGCCAGCAGCCGCGGUAAUACGUAGGUGGCAAGCGUUAUCCGGAAUUAUUGGGCGUAAAGCGCGCGUAGGCGGUUUUUUAAGUCUGAUGUGAAAGCCCACGGCUCAACCGUGGAGGGUCAUUGGAAACUGGAAAACUUGAGUGCAGAAGAGGAAAGUGGAAUUCCAUGUGUAGCGGUGAA